rnacentral:rRNA from 1 species
AUUGAACGCUGGCGGCAGGCCUAACACAUGCAAGUCGAGCGGGGUUUUCGGACCUAGCGGCGAACGGGUGAGUAAUGCGUAGGAAGCUGCCCGAUAGAGGGGGAUACCAGUUGGAAACGACUGUUAAUACCGCAUAAUGUCUACGGACCAAAGUGUGGGACCUUCGGGCCACAUGCUAUCGGAUGCGCCUACGUGGGAUUAGCUAGUUGGUGAGGUAAUGGCUCACCAAGGCGACGAUCUCUAGCUGGUUUGAGAGGAUGAUCAGCCACACUGGAAGUGGGACACGGUCCAGACUCCUUGGGGAGGCGUCAGGGGGGAAUAGUGGAAAUUGGGCGCAAGCCUGUUCCAGCCAUGCCGCGGGUGUGAAGAAGGCCUUCGGGUUGUAAAGCACUUUCAGCGAGGAGGAAGGGUGAUGUGUUAAUAGCACAUCAUUUUGACGUUACUCGCAGAAGAAGCACCGGCUAACUCUGUGCCAGCCGCCGCAGUAACAC